rnacentral:sRNA from 1 species
UUUAUGAUUAGAAUGAAUCUUACUUUUGAAACAAUGAGUGAUGUGAUGUGGCCCACACAUUACAUUUACUUUUCCAAGCAGCACUUGGAAAAGAGUCGUGUAAAUGCUUAAUAGACGCUUAAUAGACGCCUUUGACGAAUCAAACACAGUUCAUCGAAAUAUCAUUCUCAUAAAACAAACAUUUAACAAUAUUUUAGGAUCGGAAAGGAAAAAUUACAGUCAAGCCUCUUCCCUUCCAACUACCUUGUUAUGUCUGGAAAUGCAUGUGUCCACGUGAAUCUGAGCAAUAGCAGGGAAGCAGAAUUCUAUUGAUCGGAAGCACUGGUUACAUAGGAAAGUUCAUCGUGGAAGUGUCAAAGCUGGACACCCAACCUUUUCUUUUGGCGAGGGAAUCCAGACUUUCAAACCCUGCAAAAUCCUAUCUUAUUGACAAAUUCAAAGGCCUCGGUGUCAAUGUUGUUAAGAUCACCAAAGUUUGGUGAAUGCCAUAAAGCAAGUGGAGGUGGUGAUCUCUACCGUAGGCCAAUUCCAGCUAGCGGCCAAGAUAACAUCAUUUCUGCAAUA